rnacentral:rRNA from 1 species
UACGUAGGGUGCAGGCGUUAAUCGGAAUUACUGGGCGUAAAGCGUGCGCAGGCGGUUUCUUAAGUCAGAUGUGAAAGCCCCGGGCUUAACCUGGGAACUGCGUUUGAAACUGGGAGACUUGAGUGUGGCAGAGGGGGGUGGAAUUCCACGUGUAGCAGUGAAAUGCGUAGAUAUGUGGAGGAACACCGAUGGCGAAGGCAGCCCCCUGGGUUAACACUGACGCUCAUGCACGAAAGUGUGGGGAGCAAACAGG